rnacentral:sRNA from 1 species
GCUGGGUAUGGUGGUGCACACCUGUAAUCCUAGCAACUCCAGAGGCUGAGGUAGGAGGAUCACAAGUUCAAAACCAGCCUCAGCAACUUAGUGAGGUCAUAUCUCAA